rnacentral:misc_RNA from 1 species
CGGCCUCGUCCUCGCAGGAGCGGCGGUGGUUCUGGCAGUCGCCGCUCAAGCGCACCACUCCUUCGCCCAGUACAGCAUGGAGGUCACCAAGGUGUUCACGGGCGUGGUGACGCGCGUGAAUCCCGAUGCGAACCACCUUCAGAUCUUCUUCGCGCCCAUGAACGACGAGCGCAAGAACGUAAUCCGGGAUGCUGACGGCAAACCCGUGGUGUGGGCGGUUGAGAUGGGUGGCUCCGC